GCUUCAUAGUGCGGCUCGCGGGCUGGGGGCAGGAACUUCGGGGGCGGCGGUGGAGCCGGCGGGGGACAACGACGACCGCAGGAGCGAGCCCUCGGCUUGUCGCUCGCCAUGCCGACCGUGGAGGAGCUCUACCGCAACUAUGGCAUCCUGGCCGAUGCCACGGAGCAAGUGGGCCAGCAUAAAGAUGCCUAUCAAGUGAUAUUGGAUGGUGUGAAAGGUGGUACCAAGGAAAAAAGAUUAGCAGCUCAGUUUAUUCCAAAAUUCUUUAAGCAUUUUCCAGAAUUGGCUGAUUCUGCUAUCAAUGCACAGUUAGACCUCUGUGAGGAUGAAGAUGUAUCAAUUCGACGGCAAGCAAUUAAAGAGCUUCCUCAAUUUGCCACUGGAGAAAAUCUUCCCCGAGUGGCAGAUAUUCUAACCCAACUUUUGCAAACAGAUGACUCUGCAGAAUUUAACUUAGUGAACAAUGCCCUAUUAAGUAUAUUUAAGAUGGAUGCAAAAGGGACUUUAGGUGGCUUAUUCAGCCAAAUCCUUCAAGGAGAAGACAUUGUUAGAGAACGAGCAAUCAAAUUCCUUUCUACAAAACUUAAGACUUUACCAGAUGAAGUCUUAACAAAGGAAGUAGAGGAACUUAUACUAACUGAAUCCAAAAAGGUCCUAGAAGAUGUGACUGGUGAAGAAUUUGUCCUGUUCAUGAAGAUACUGUCUGGGUUAAAGAGCUUACAGACAGUGAGUGGAAGACAGCAACUUGUAGAGUUGGUGGCUGAACAGGCUGACCUAGAACAAACCUUCAACCCGUCAGAUCCCGACUGUGUGGACAGGCUCUUACAGUGCACUCGGCAGGCGGUUCCCCUCUUCUCGAAAAACGUGCAUUCCACAAGGUUUGUGACUUACUUCUGUGAGCAGGUUCUACCUAACCUCAGCUCCUUAACUACUCCAGUGGAGGGUCUUGAUAUACAGUUGGAGGUAUUGAAACUGUUGGCGGAGAUGAGUUCAUUUUGUGGUGACAUGGAAAAGCUAGAAACAAAUUUAAGGAAAUUGUUUGAUAAGCUAUUGGAGUACAUGCCUCUCCCUCCAGAAGAAGCAGAAAAUGGGGAGAAUGCUGGUAAUGAAGAACCUAAGCUGCAAUUCAGUUAUGUGGAAUGUUUGUUGUACAGCUUCCACCAGUUGGGUCGAAAACUUCCAGAUUUCUUAACAGCCAAACUGAAUGCAGAAAAGCUCAAAGAUUUUAAAAUUAGGCUGCAGUACUUUGCACGGGGCCUGCAGGUUUAUAUCAGACAACUUCGCUUGGCUCUCCAGGGUAAAACAGGCGAGGCCUUAAAAACAGACGAGAACAAGAUUAAAGUUGUUGCAUUGAAAAUAACAAAUAACAUCAAUGUUUUAAUCAAGGAUCUCUUCCACAUUCCUCCCUCUUAUAAGAGCACGGUAACAUUAUCCUGGAAACCUGUACAGAAGGUUGAAAUUGGGCAAAAGAGGGCCACUGAAGAUACAACUUCUGGUUCACCACCCAAGAAAUCUCCAGCAGGACCAAAAAGAGAUGCAAGGCAGAUUUAUAAUCCUCCUAGUGGGAAAUAUAGCAGCAAUUUGGGCAACUUUAAUUAUGAGCAGAGAGGAGCCUUCAGGGGAAGUAGAGGUGGCCGAGGUUGGGGAGCACGAGGAAAUCGAAGUCGGGGAAGACUCUACUGAAUAAGACAUCUCAUUCUUCAGCAUCGUCAUGAGCUUAACACUUAAAUUCUACUACUCAUUGGAUUGCCGGGGAUGUCCCUUAAAAGGACUGCUGCCUUCAGCUAAAAACUUAUUGUUCUUUAUACCUUUGUAUGUAUGAUCUACUUUUGUAACAGACCAUGGUUGUGUCCAAGGUAAAACCACAGCGAUAUUUUUGGAUGCUUUGUGCGCAAUCUUGUUUUUGCAAUAUCAUCAUUAUUCAGACUUCAUAUUGUGAAUCUUUUAAACAUCUUAAUAAUUUGUUGAGAGCUAUUCAAAUCUAAAAUAUAAUGAAAUUCUAUUUCUGAUAACUGGUAAAGAUGAUCAGUUUUGAAAGCUUACUGAUUUUCUUCUCCCCUCUGUCCUUUUCCCCCAAUAUAUAGAGAAGAGUAAUGGUCAAUUUUAACAUUUGGUUUUCAUUGGGUUUUUUAAAUAAAGCUGCUAGGCAAUGGUUCAGCAUUCCCACCUAGUGUACUAAGAGCAAAAUACUUAAAUGUAGAAAUAUUACAUUUUUAGGAGAAUGUAAGCUGCUUUGCACUGCUUACUUAACUCUUCUCCAUAUGUUGUGAUAAGCUUUUGAAUAUGGGAUCUUACUCUUUGAAUAGAAAUGUGUAUGUAUAAUAUACAUACAUACAUAAGAUAUAUAUGUGUGUGUGUGUAUAUAUAUAUAUGCAUGCUGACUACACAACAUAAAUCAUUUUUUAAAAUUCCAGGAACAGGUAAUCUUUGACAUGGUGAUUACCCUUUUGAGGCUGAAUCCAUUAUUAACUUGUUAUCUAGGUUUUCUUCCCAGUAGUGAGGGAUUUUGAGUCCGUUGCACUUACAUGAUUAUUGUUAUUUAAAACUGAAAAUAAACAAAGGCUGCAUUUUCAAAGAUGAGUUUGGCAAUCCCUUUUGGAGAAAUACAGCCAAAAUACUGAAUCUGAUGUACAUAUAGGUUUCUACAGGAUGACACAGAAUAAUUUAGAAUUUGGGAAUUGAAUAACCAGGGCAAUCCAGGAAAAGUGACUUGAUAACAUGUUCUACCAAUAAUAAGGGAUUCUCUCUGUUUGCUUUUGCCACUUUGAAGAUUUAACUUCUCAGGUUAUUAAUCAAAAUUAUUGUAUAAGUUAGCCAAUAGAAUAUUUAGGUUAAAAAACAGAUGGGGGGUUUGUGGAGUGUUUAAUGUCAUGGGCAUUUUUAGUAGCAUAGGUCCUUAGCUCUGCAUUUGAAUGUUUCAUAUAUUUUUGUUUCACAGUUAAUAUUCCCUCCCCAAGUUUGCUACUCAAAUCCAGUGUCUGAGUAACAUUUUCUAGUAGUUUGGCAUAUUUUUUGAGGAAUAGUUAGUAAUUCCAAUGGCAGUGUCUUCAAUACUGUUAACCCUUACAUUGGGGAAAAAACAAAACCCCUUUGUUAGAAAUACUGCACAUGUUUAUGGGAUAAAUAUUUUUUGAAGACUAAAAUUAUACAAGUGAGCAUAAGAAAUGGGUCAGCUUGAUUAUGGAGUGGUGGCAAUAAUCUAAACAUUCCAAAAGACAAUGAGCUGAACCUGAGCUCCCUUGGAAUCUGAACAGACAUAGGAAUAUGGAAUUGCUAUUUGAAAACUGUGACCCGGUGGCCGAAAGCCAUUUCAAGUAUAGGAACUGUAUUAGGACUACAGUUAUAUAAAUUUGAACUUUAGGAGUAACUUUUCCUCUUUUUCUUUUUUAAAGAGUAUUUGUAAAGUCAAAGCUGAGCAGAAUUGACUCUACUUUAAGUUUGAUAUUGAGUUGACUGUGUUCUUCCUUUGCCACCUCAUUGUUCCCCUUCCCUUUCCUAAGGCAAUAAUGCACAACUUCGGUUACUUUUGCUUCAAAAAUUUGAAUGAAAAACUUCAUGUCACGAUUGUUUUUCUUUUGCAAGACAUCUGUUUAUCACAUUGUUCAAAAAAGCUAACUCACUCUUCUGAAAAAAGGGAUUUGGCUCUAAUCAAAGCAAAACAUCAGAUACUUGCCAAAUCAUGAAAUAUUUCCAUCCUCAAGUUAAUAUGCAAAAACAAGUUGGAACUUCUUAAUAUGACUACCAGCCUUGAUUUGAAAAAAAAAAAAGAAAGAAAAAGUCUUCCUGAAGUAGUAUCAAAGGUUAGAAAUGUUCUAAAGCCAAAAGUUGAAAUGGACCAGGACAAGAUAAGUUCCCUUGGUGGUCACAUUCUGUGGCUUUAAAACCACCUCUAUGAUAUGUACUACUAUUUGUAAUACUUUAAACAAGAAAAUAAAAUUUAAAAAAAAAA